GUCCCUUCUUGGACACCCGAUAAAAUUGGAAUGAUACAAAAAGAUUAGCAUGGCCCCUGCUCAAGAAUGAGACGCGUAAAUCUAAAAAUGGUCCAAAUUUAU
rfam:Solanum tuberosum cultivar DM 1-3 516 R44 scf00128_57, whole genome shotgun sequence.